rnacentral:rRNA from 1 species
GACGAACGCUGGCGGCGUGCCUAAUACAUGCAAGUCGAACGCUUCUUUCCUCCCGAGUGCUUGCACUCAAUUGGAAAGAGGAGUGGCGGACGGGUGAGUAACACGUGGGUAACCUACCCAUCAGAGGGGGAUAACACUUGGAAACAGGUGCUAAUACCGCAUAACAGUUUAUGCCGCAUGGCAUAAGAGUGAAAGGCGCUUUCGGGUGUCGCUGAUGGAUGGACCCGCGGUGCAUUAGCUAGUUGGUGAGGUAACGGCUCACCAAGGCCACGAUGCAUAGCCGACCUGAGAGGGUGAUCGGCCACACUGGGACUGAGACACGGCCCAGACUCCUACGGGAGGCAGCAGUAGGGAAUCUUCGGCAAUGGACGAAAGUCUGACCGAGCAACGCCGCGUGAGUGAAGAAGGUUUUCGGAUCGUAAAACUCUGUUGUUAGAGAAGAACAAGGACGUUAGUAACUGAACGUCCCCUGACGGUAUCUAACCAGAAAGCCACGGCUAACUACGUGCCAGCAGCCGCGGUAAUACGUAGGUGGCUAGCGUUGUCCGGAUUUAUUGGGCGUAAAGCGAGCGCAGGCGGUUUCUUAAGUCUGAUGUGAAAGCCCCCGGCUCAACCGGGGAGGGUCAUUGGAAACUGGGAGACUUGAGUGCAAAAAGAGGAGAGUGGAAUUCCAUGUGUAGCGGUGAAAAUGCGUAGAUAUAUGGAGGAACACCAGUGGCGAAGGCGGCUCUCUGGUCUGUAACUGACGCUGAGGCUCGAAAAGCGUGGGGGAGCAAACAGGAUUAGAUACCCUGGUAGUCCACGCCGUAAACGAUGAGUGCUAAGUGUUGGAGGGUUUCCGCCCUUCAGUGCUGCAGCAAACGCAUUAAGCACUCCGCCUGGGGAGUACGACCGCAAGGUUGAAACUCAAAGGAAUUGACGGGGGCCCGCACAAGCGGUGGAGCAUGUGGUUUAAUUCGAAGCAACGCGAAGAACCUUACCAGGUCUUGACAUCCUUUGACCACUCUAGAGAUAGAGCUUUCCCUUCGGGGACAAAGUGACAGGUGGUGCAUGGUUGUCGUCAGCUCGUGUCGUGAGAUGUUGGGUUAAGUCCCGCAACGAGCGCAACCCUUAUUGUUAGUUGCCAUCAUUUAGUUGGGCACUCUAGCGAGACUGCCGGUGACAAACCGGAGGAAGGUGGGGAUGACGUCAAAUCAUCAUGCCCCUUAUGACCUGGGCUACACACGUGCUACAAUGGGAAGUACAACGAGUCGCUAGACCGCGAGGUCAUGCAAAUCUCUUAAAGCUUCUCUCAGUUCGGAUUGCAGGCUGCAACUCGCCUGCAUGAAGCCGGAAUCGCUAGUAAUCGCGGAUCAGCACGCCGCGGUGAAUACGUUCCCGGGCCUUGUACACACCGCCCGUCACACCACGAGAGUUUGUAACACCCGAAGUCGGUGAGGUAACCUUUUUGGAGCCAGCCGCCUAAGUGGGAUAGAUGAUUGGGGUGAAGUCGUAACAAGUAGCCGUAU